rnacentral:rRNA from 1 species
UACGUAGGGACCGAGCGUUGUCCGGAUUCAUUGGGCGUAAAGAGCUCGUAGGCGGCCACUCAAGUCGAAUGUGAAAACUCGAGGCUCAACCUCGAGCCUGCAUUCGAUACUGGGCGGCUAGAGUCUGGUAGGGGGAUCUGGAAUUCCUGGUGUAGCGGUGGAAUGCGCAGAUAUCAGGAGGAACACCGGUGGCGAAGGCGGGAUCCUGGGCCAGUACUGACGCUGAGGAGCGAAAGCGUGGGGAGCAAACAGG